UACGGAGGGGGCCAGCGUUGUUCGGAAUUAUUGGGCGUAAAGGGCGCGUAGGCGGGCCGCAUAGUCAGGGGUGAAAUCCUCCAGCUUAACUGGAGAAGUGCCUCUGAUACUGGCGGCCUCGAGGGGUGCAGGGGCGUGCGGAACUUAGGGUGGAGCGGUGAAAUGCGUAGAUAUCCUAAGGAACACCGGUGGCGAAGGCGGCACGCUGGACACCUUCUGACGCUGAGGCGCGAAAGCCAGGGGAGCAAACGGG
rnacentral:rRNA from 1 species